UACGUAGGGUGCAAGCGUUAUCCGGAAUUAUUGGGCGUAAAGAGCUCGUAGGCGGUUCGUCGCGUCGGCUGUGAAAACCCGAGGCUCAACCUCGGGCCUGCAGUCGAUACGGGCGGACUGGAGUUCGGCAGGGGAGACUGGAAUUCCUGGUGUAGCGGUGAAAUGCGCAGAUAUCAGGAGGAACACCGGUGGCGAAGGCGGGUCUCUGGGCCGAUACUGACGCUGAGGAGCGAAAGCGAGGGGAGCAAACAGG
rnacentral:rRNA from 1 species